UAGCAUUUGUUGUAGAGCUGGUUUGGUGGUGCUGAAUUCUCUUAGCUUUUACUUGUCUGUAAAGCUUUUGAUUUCUCCAUCGAAUCUGAAUGAGAUCCUUGCCAGGUAGAGUAAUCUUGGUUGUAGCUUCUUCCUUUUCAUCACUUUAAGUAUAUCAUGCCACUCCCUUCUGGCUUGUAGAGUUUCUGCAGAGAAAUCAGCUGUUAACCUUACGGGAGUUCCCUUGUAUGUUAUGUGUCAUUUUUCCCUUGCUUCUUUCAAUAAUUUUUCUUUGUCUUUAAUUUUUGCCAAUUUGAUUACCAUGUGUCUUGGCAUGUUUCUCCUUGUGUUUAUCCUGUAUGGGACUCUCUGCACUUCCUGGACUUGGGUGGCUAUUUCCUUUCCCAUGUUAGGGAAGUUUUCGAUUAUAAUCUCUUCAAAUAUUUUUUUGGGUCCUUUCUGUCUCUCUUCUCCUUCUGGGACCCCUAUAAUGUGAAUGUUGUUGCAUUUAGUGUUGUUCCAGAGGUCUUGUAGGCUGUCUUCAUUUCUUUUCAUUCUUUUUUCUUCAUUCUGUCCCGCAGCAGUGAAUUCCACCAUCCUGUCUUCCAGGUCACUUAUCCAUUCUUCUGCCUCAGUUAUUCUGCUAUUGGUUCCUUCUAGUGUAGUUUUCAUUUCAGUUAUUGUGUUGUUCAUCUGUUUGUUUGUUCUUUAAUUCUUCUAGAUCUUAGUUAAACAUUUCUUGCAUCUUCUCGAUCUGUGCCUCUAUUCUUUUUCCGAGGUCCUGGAUCAUCUUCACUAUCAUUAUUCUGAAUUCUUUUCUGGAAGGUUGCCUAUGUCCACUUCAUUUAGUUGUUCUUCUGGGGUUUUAUGUUGUUCCUUCAUCUGGUACAUAGCCCUCUGUCUUUUCAUCUUGUCUAUCUUUCUGUGAAUGUGGUUUUUGUUCCACAGGCUGCAGGAUUGUAGUUCUUCUUGCUUCUGCUGUCUGCCCUCUGGUGGAUGAGGCUAUCUAAGAGGCUUGUGUACGUUUCCUGAUGGGAGGGACUGCUGGUGGGUAGAGCUGGCUGUUGCUUUGGUGGGCAGAGCUCAGUAAAACUUUAAUCCACUUGUCUGCUGAUGGGUGGGGCUGAGUUUCCUCCCUGUUAAUUGUUUGGCCUCAGGCAACCCAACACUGGAGCCUACCGGGGCUCUUUGGUGGGGCUAAUGGCGGACUCUGGGAGGGCUCACACCAAAGAGCACUUCCCAGAACUUCUACUGCCAGUGUACUUGUCCUCACGGUGACACACAGCCACCCUCCGCCUCUGAAGGAGACCCUCCAACACUAGCAGAGAUUGGGAGGUGACGUUGGCAGGAGACAUGGAUGUGUGCUGCUAUCAGGAUGUACAAAGGGCAAAGAGGAUGAUGGUACAGAGCCAGUUCACGGUGAAGUGAGAUGCUCCCCACAGAAUCACAGCAGCUCUACUCUCACUGACCAAUGAGCCCACCCACAGUUCCAGUGGAAUGUGGUGCAUGAAACUCCUCUCCUGCAGAGAGUCAAGUUCACUGUCUUUCAGGUCUGUGGAUGGUUUCUGUGGCUGCUUAACUGUGGUACCAUUUUGUCUUAGAGGUGAAGUGGAGAGCGGUUAUAAGGAGAGACCAAUACUCAGAAGAAGGAACGGAAUCAUAUCUGUCCUGAGCUCAAGAGGAGACUCCCAGAAACCACUGGUAUGACUUGGGGAGUGCUUUUGCUUGCUGCUGGUCAGGCAAAAUGAACCUGGUUCUGUAACAAAUGUAACUGGGAGCUGGAUUUUCUAAAAAAAAAAAAAAAAAGCAGUUUGACUGGAGGACCAAAAGGACUAAAGGAAAGAGCAGGCAUAAGGAAUUGAGGCCACAACCGGGUGGAAUACAGACUCCUGCUGGAUGUCCUUGAAGCUGUGGAGCUCUCUGCAGCCCUCAGAAUAGGAAUUCAUCUUUUAUGACCCAACUAUGUUCUGAUUCCUAAAGGAAGUAUUUGAUUACUGCAGUCCAAAGAUACUGCUUCUAUCAGCUCCUAGCUCUCAACUCAAAGAAGACUCAGGAGAAGGGAAGACCCCGGGGCUGCGAGGCCCGGGACAGGUCCAAGACUCCGCCGGAGGUAGGG